rnacentral:rRNA from 1 species
GUAACGAACGAGACCUCGGCCUUGUAAAUAGCUAUGCUGCUUACAGGGACAUUGGCGGCUACGCCAAGGAAGCUCGAGGCAAUUGCAGAUCUGGAAUGCCCUUAGAUGUCCUGGGUCGCACGCGUGCUACAAUGACGCCACGAACGAGCUUGCGUGAUGAAAGUUACGCAUAAUCAGCAGUCGGCGUCUUAAGGGAUAGUCUCUUGUAACUGUGGGACUCCAACUAGGAAUGUCUCGUAAGCACAAGUCAACAUCUUGUGUUGAUUACGUCCCUGCUCUUUGUACACACCGCCCGUCGCUCCUACCGAUCGAGUGUUUAGGUGAAUUUGAUGGACGUAAGGAAGUCAAAUAAACCUGAGCACUUAGAGGAAGGAG